rnacentral:rRNA from 1 species
AUCCUGGCUCAGAGCGAACGCUGGCGGCAGGCUUAACACAUGCAAGUCGAGCGGGCAUAGCAAUAUGUCAGCGGCAGACGGGUGAGUAACGCGUGGGAACGUACCUUUUGGUUCGGAACAACUGAGGGAAACUUCAGCUAAUACCGGAUAAGCCCUUACGGGGAAAGAUUUAUCGCCGAAAGAUCGGCCCGCGUCUGAUUAGCUAGUUGGUGAGGUAAUGGCUCACCAAGGCGACGAUCAGUAGCUGGUCUGAGAGGAUGAUCAGCCACAUUGGGACUGAGACACGGCCCAAACUCCUACGGGAGGCAGCAGUGGGGAAUAUUGGACAAUGGGCGCAAGCCUGAUCCAGCCAUGCCGCGUGAGUGAUGAAGGCCCUAGGGUUGUAAAGCUCUUUUGUGCGGGGAAAUAAUGACGGUACCGCAAGAA